GUGAAACUGAGAUGUUGGAACGGCUCAAUCAAAUCAAAACUCCUAAGAAUUGAAUUAGGUGCUUUCAUUUGAUUGAGCCGUGCCAAUAUCAUGUUAACUCUA
rfam:Nelumbo nucifera unplaced genomic scaffold scaffold00008, whole genome shotgun sequence